rnacentral:rRNA from 1 species
ACGGGAGGCAGCAGUAGGGAAUAUUGUACAAUGGGGGAAACCCUGAUGCAGCAACGCCACGUGUGGGAAGAAGCAUUUCGGUGUGUAAACCACUGUCGUGAGGGAAUAAAGCUGGAGUUGUCCAGUUGAAUGUACCUCGAAAGGAAGCACCGGCAAACUUCGUGCCAGCAGCCGCGGUAAUACGAGGGGUGCAAGCGUUGUUCGGAAUCACUGGGCGUAAAGGGAGCGCAGGCGGAAGUGCAAGCGGUCUGUACAAUCCCGGGGCCUAACCCCGGACCUGCAGACCGGACUGUUUCUCUUGGAUAGUUCAGGGGCAAGCGGAAUUCCUGGUGUAGCGGUGGAAUGCGUAGAGAUCAGGAAGAACACCGAUGGCGAAGGCAGCUUGCUGGGGACUUAUCGACGCUCAUGCUCGAAAGUACGGGUAGCAAACAGGAUUAGAUACCCUGGUA